AUACGGAGGGUGCAAGCGUUGUUCGGAAUUACUGGGCGUAAAGCGCGCGUAGGCGGUCUGUUAUGUCAGAUGUGAAAGUCCUCGGCUCAACCGGGGAAGUGCAUUUGAAACUGGCAGACUUGAGUACUGGAGGGGGUGGUGGAAUUCCCGGUGCAGAGGUGAAAUUCGUAGAUAUCGGGAGGAAUACCGGUGGCGAAGGCGACCACCUGGCCAGAUACUGACGCUGAGGUGCGAAAGCGUGGGGAGCAAACAGGAUUAGAUACCCAGGUAGUCC
rnacentral:rRNA from 1 species